GCCGGAGUGGCGGAACGGGUAGACGCAAGGGACUUAAAAUCCCUUGUCCGCAAGGGCGUGCGGGUUCGAGUCCCGCCUCCGGCA
rnacentral:tRNA from 1 species